GAUGAACGCUGGCGGCGUGCCUAAUACAUGCAAGUCGAGCGAACAGACGAGGAGCUUGCUCCUCUGACGUUUGCGGAGGACGGGUGAGUAACACGUGGAUAACCUACCUAUAAGACUGGGAUAACUUCGGGAAACCGGAGCUAAUACCGGAUAAUAUACUGAACCGUAUGGUUCAAUAGUGAAAGACGGUUUUGCUGUCACUUAUAGAUGGAUCCGCGCCGCAUUAGCUAGUUGUGAGGGUAAAGGCUUACCAAGGCAACGAUGCGUAGCCGACCUGAGAGAGGGAUAGGCCACACUGGAACUGAGACACGGUCCAUGGUCCUGCGGUAGGCAGCAGUAGGGAAUCGGCCGCAAAGGUGGAAAGCCUGACAGAGCAACGCCGAGUGAGUGAUGAAGGUCUUCGGAGCGUAAAACUCUGUUAUGAGGUAAGAACAAAUGUGUAAGUAACUAAACAGGGCUUGACGGUACCGAGUCAGGAAGCCACGGCUAACUACGUG
rnacentral:rRNA from 1 species